GAAUGAAAUAAUGAAAUGAUCAAUGAUAGACUAUUAUGAGAUAUGCGUUUUGGUUAGACGUGUUGUCAUAAUUGUAAGGCAAAAGUAAGUUAUACGGUGCGUGUUAGAUGUACGUGUGUUUAAUGCGAUGACACGAUGGAUUACACGAGUUAGAAAUGAUAUGAAUUUGAUGAGAAUUAUUGUAUCAUAUGGUCUUUAACAUGUUUAUGAUGCUUAGCAUAAAUUGUGAACAUGAAUUGAUGAUUUAAAGUCGAGAUUUAGUUCAUAAUUCCAAAGAUUUACAAAGCUGAUUGGAAGUAAUUAUUGUUGCGCGCCUGUUUUGAAAAAUUCGUAUAAAAUCAACCGUAGCUCGGUUUAAGGCAUAUGAUAUAUCGUUGAAAAGGUUGUUUCGCAUAUUACAUUUCAUAUUUGGUCAUGAGAGGCUGGUUAUGAGAUUUAGUGGGUCAAAACAGCAUGAAAAGUUAGUAAAUUCGUUUUGACAGCAAGCUGUUUGGAAGCAUUUCAGCUUCUGUGCUGAUUUUGUAAAAAUCAUAUAAAAUCAUAGGAAUGUCCGAUUGUUACGAUCUUUAUAUGCUUAGAAAGAUCUCUGAGUGUAGAUCAUUUCAUAUUUGAACAUGAAGAACUGAAUCAGAAGAUAAAUGGGUUAAAAUGUGUCGUGAACAGCUGCUGCGCAGAAAGUUGCUGCACAAAUUUUAGUAUAAAUAUUCAGUAAAAAUAGUUGUAUUGUUAUGCAUACUUGUAUGAAUCAUGAACUACUGAUUUUAAUAAAUUAUUAGUAAGUUAUUUGAUUGUUUUAAGUGUCUAAAACACUUACCAACUAGUUUAUGCAUAUAAUUGCACCAACGGGUCGAAACGGGUUGUUGAUAAAAAAAAAUAGUAGAAUGGAUGUGUAAAAACCAAGGUGUUAAGAAAUGGUAUGAAAUGUUUAACAUAUGAAGCAGGUUGCCUAACUUAGAAAAGGUUAUCAUUCUAAGUAUGGAAUUUUGAAAGAAUAACGAACAUGAUGUAAAUACAUAAUUAUGCAUGCUAGAAGCUCAUGUAUGACUGUUGUGAUGAUGGAAUGAUAAAUUGUUAGAUUGAUUAGCAUUGUAGUAUUAUGAUACAUGUUGAACUUGCUAAGCGAUUGACACGUGAAUAGAAGUGUGAUUAGUGAUGCGAACGUGUCAAGGAGAGGUCAAGCAUAGGAGGAUAACGGGUCAAGAUAAGGCAAGGUGACAAAUACACUUAUUGGAGUACUCGAGGUAAGUGAAUUUCGAUUCACUUUUUAGUAGGUUUAAUAGAUUUUAAUACUUAUGUUUACGAAACAUCAUGAAAGAACAUGUGAUAAUCAGAAGUACAAAGCCAAUAAUGCCUCAUUAUUGAAGAAGGUUGUAUUUAAGCCGAAAGUAAAUUGGUGGGUUUAAACGGGUCGAAUUUUAUGUGCAUAUGUUGCGUAAUGUAAUGAAAUUCGUUAUGGUUAAGACCUUGGGUAAGAAUUUUAGUCAUUAUGUAAGGGGAACAUUUCCCGGACCAUUAGGAACAAGUUUUAUAUGAUUCGGUUGUCGGUUAGUGAAUGAACGGAUUGUUUCGUGUUAGUGUAGGAAAUUUUAUAAGUAUAUGUGUAUGGGAAUCCAAAGGCCACGUGGGAUGAAUCGUAGAUUGUCUAUACUAUGUAAAGUUGUAAAUGUGACAUUCCGGCAUAAACCUACAUGUAAAAGAAGCUUGUGUAUAUAUUCGUGAUUAAUUGAUUGUGCGUAGGAAGGAACAUUGGCAUGUAUGAAGGUACGCAUAUAUAUAUAUAUAUAAGUGUAUAUAUAUAUGUAUGUAUGUAUGAUAAUAAGUACGUAGGUGUGAAUGUAUGUGUGAAUGAAUGUUCAAUGCUUAAGACAUAUGCAUGAACGUAUCAAAGUGUUCGAGUAUUUAUGGAUACUAAUGAUGUGCGUUGAGUUGGAAUGUAAUGUAGGUAUGGGAUCGUUGGCUUCAUGAAAAAAAUGGAGCUGGAUUUGGAUAAGAGUAUUUAAGAAAGCGCUUGGACAAUUCCACGACUACUUUAUAGAAUGCUCUACGAAAUUUUAUUAUAUAGUUUAAUGUUGAAUGGUAUGUUAAUGACUAAUGGUUUGGUUGUACGUGGUGUCCACAGGUAUCGCUUGGGUUUUCUCUACAUUUAUUGAAGUGAAGCGGACUUAGUUCGAGUUGAGAGCAAGGAUUGUACGGGGUAGAAUGGUCACAUAGUGUAACUCAUAUAGGUUUUGAAGUAUUAAUGUUAUAAAACGUUAUAAAUCCGUUUUAAUGAAUAUAUGGCAUUUCGCACUUGAACCUUCAUGUGUUUGAUAUGUCUAUUAAAGAACGAAAUUUUUGG
rnacentral:lncRNA from 1 species